GGAAGAGAGAGUCGCUUGCACAGGUUUGGAGCCGAAGUAGGGGCGGAGCUAAGAGUGUGAUGAGGCCCUGGGAAGAGGGUCGCCGGACAGGCAGGGAAGGCCGUGAAGGCGAUGGAGAGCUGGGAGCCAGGACAGUGCUUGAAAGGAGAUGCUGUGGGCGGGGCUAAAUGGAGAACCGCCCAGAGAGCGGAGCCACGGACGGAGGGAGGCGGGGCUGAAGAGAAGCCUAGAGUGGGAGGAAGAUAGAAGCGGGCCUGAAGGAGACGGGCCCGGAAGCAGGGAGGGGAGGAGGGGCCCCAGGGGUGCCUACUCUGGGCGGGUGCCGGAAGGAGGCGUGCCCCAAGGAAGGACUGAGGGGUGGUGCUUGAGGUGCGCGGGGCCUGGAGAUGGCGCUGAAACCUGCAGGCCGCGGGCGGUGCAGGAGGGAUCCGGAAGAGACGAGGCAGGAAGAAACUCCUGGUCCUUUCGCUUUCAAGGGACGUGGCACUUAGGGUGCUAGUCCUCCCUCCUACACAUUUCUCCUGUCGGGAUCUCUCACGAAUCGUGUUCCAGCCUCCAGUGAACCAGUCUUCCUAACGAGAGCACAAGAGGCCCGUUGUCCUUCAUUCUUCAGCUAUGGACUUCCCUGAAAGUUGAGAACUGACCAUAUUCUCGAUGCCUGCUCUGACCUGUGAUUUCACGACUCACAUCGCUUCCCCAGAACCUGCUUAACAGACAGGAUUCCUGAGAAUGGAGCAGAAUUUGAAUUCAGUCCUGGCUUUGCCAUACCAGCAGUUAUAAUUGCCCUUCUGUUGUUUGAUGACUCCCUGCCCUGCUUCAAAAGGAAGAGAAAUCAAAUUAAAGAGUUGACGACCCUGAGCGCAAGGCCUCGGACGUUAUUCCCUAAACUCUGCUUUAAUAUCACCUCCUCAAAAGAAAUCUUCCCUGAACACCUUAUCUCGAGAUGUUCUCUAGUUUA